UCUGAACACUGGCCAGUGGCUGGUUACCUUGUCCUCUUCCAGUUCUUCGUGCAGGAACCAUCAGCGGCGGCAGCGGUAUCUCUUUUCAUUGUUGGUUGUAUCUGGCAGACUUGCUUGUGUACGGCUUGGCGUCCGAUCUUUCUUCAUCAGCGCAAAGUUUGCCCGCGUCGUGGGGGUUGCUGCGCUUCUGCUUCACUGAAGAGGAGUAGCAGCAAUGGAGGGCUUGAAGGUUUCAGAUGCUAAUCUAGUCGUAUAUGUUCAUCCUUCAAAAAGUAACAAAGUUCAUCAAGCGGUUCUCAAUGAGCUCAGCACUUUGCUUUUCACGUUCAGUGAAAUCUUUGAUGGAGUUGUGUUAGCCUAUGAUGUCAACUUCCUUGAGAAAUGUGCAAAAGUUCUUUCUGGAGUUCAUCCUUAUUUUGGUGUUACACUAAAGGCAAAGUUGUUACUUUUUUCCCCAAAGCCAAAUAUGCUUUUAGAAGCGAAGGUGGUAAAGCUUACGCAAGAAUCCAUUCAUGCCAUUGUGCUUGGCUUUUCUUCUGCAGUAAUAGCUGACAAGGACAUUAGGGAAGAGUUCACAUACAGAAAUAAACAUGGGCAAGGUAGGUACAUAAGCAGAUUGCACAAGCGGCAUGUGAUAAAGGUUGGAACCAUGAUACGCUUUGAAGUCAAGAGCUUUGAUGAGGAAAUACUUCAUGUUUUUGGAUCCCUGAAGCUAGAUACCACAGGCGGCAUUCAUUGGUUAGAUAAGAACUUGGAAGAUGUUCCCCAAAGUGACAGAAGUGCAAAGAAGAAGAGAGAAAAUGAGGGAGAAUCGCUAAUUUUAGAGCAAAACGCUAUGGUUGAGGAACCAAUUUUCUUGGACAAUGCACACGCGAAAAAGCCAAAGAAACAAAGAAUUAAAGAGGAAUCCUGAAGUUGAAAGUAGCAGGGGAAUUCUCUCUUGUAUGUAUUUUGUUUUCCCAGAGGGCUUUCGCAUUAUUUUGCAGCUUGGCAACUGUCUAAUGCCCAAGAAACAGCAGCUUCAUGUAUCACUAGAAAACAUGAAAAGAGAAGGGAAAGAGGCCAAGAAAUCUUAACAAUACCUUGAGUUAGUUUUGGUCUUAGACACAAACAGAUUUAUUUACAAGCAUCAAAACUCAAAUAUGUUAAACCUUGUAACCCAUAUUCGGCUUUAAUUUAAAUCCAAGUUUGUAUGUCCUA